rnacentral:rRNA from 1 species
UGGCGGACGGGUGAGUAACGCGUGAGGAUCUGCCUUUUGGUCGGGGACAACCACUGGAAACGGUGGCUAAUACCGGAUAAGCCUGCGGGUAAAAGAUUAAUUGCCAAAAGAGGAGCUCGCGUCUGAUUAGCUAGUUGGUAGGGUAAAAGCCUACCAAGGCGACGAUCAGUAGCUGGUCUGAGAGGAUGAUCAGCCACACUGGGACUGAGACACGGCCCAGACUCCUACGGGAGGCAGCAGUGGGGAAUUUUCCGCAAUGGGCGAAAGCCUGACGGAGCAAGACCGCGUGAGGGAGGAAGGCUCUUGGGUCGUAAACCUCUUUUCUCAGGGAAGAACACAAUGACGGUACCUGAGGAAUCAGCCUCGGCUAACUCCGUGCCAGCAGCCGCGGUAAUACGGAGGAGGCAAGCGUUAUCCGGAAUUAUUGGGCGUAAAGCGUCCGUAGGUGGCACUUCAAGUCUGCGGUCAAAGACCGGGGCUUAACCCUGGAAAGGCCGUGGAAACUGAAGUGCUAGAGUGCAGUAGGGGUAGAGGGAAUUCCCGGUGUAGCGGUGAAAUGCGUAGAGCUCGGGAAGAACAUCGGUGGCGAAAGCGCUCUA